rnacentral:rRNA from 1 species
UACGUAGGGUGCAAGCGUUAAUCGGAAUUACUGGGCGUAAAGCGUGCGCAGGCGGUUUUGUAAGUCUGUCGUGAAAUCCCCGGGCUUAACCUGGGAAUGGCGAUGGAGACUGCAAGGCUAGAAUCUGGCAGAGGGGGGUAGAAUUCCACGUGUAGCAGUGAAAUGCGUAGAGAUGUGGAGGAACACCGAUGGCGAAGGCAGCCCCCUGGGCUAAGAUUGACGCUCAUGCACGAAAAGCGUGGGGGAGCAAACAGG